UUUUACAUUCAGAUCGUAAAUUGGUCAUAAACCUUUUUGAACUAAGUCUAUUGAUCACAAACCUUUUUGAACUAUGUCCAUUGUUGCAUUGAGUUCGUUUCCUAAUGAGAUUUUAUUAGGUUUGCAAUUUUCUUAUUUAAUUUUACAUUUGAUCCUUUUAUUUUUUUGACGAUUGAGAAAUAUAUUAAAAACAAAGGAAAUAAACAAAGACAGAGCCCAAAGAAGAGCAAAAAAAGAAAAGAAAAAAAAAAACGGAAGAAAAACAAACCAAAGAAAAAGAGAGAAACCUAGAAAACACCUAUACAAUUAGAGACUGAGACAAAAGGGACCUCCGAGACUGAAAACCUCACAACCCAGGAACCUAUCCUAGGGGCGGCAAGAUGAUGGAUCAGCCUAUGAGGGGUAGACAGAUAGACCAUUCCUUCCCCUCCUAGAGGAUGUGCUGAGAAACGGAGGCUGAGGAAGAGGAACCAUUCUGAAAGCAGUGCAAGUUCCUUUCACGCCAAAUUCCCUAAAGAGCGGCCAAUCCCGUCAAUUACCAUAAUGAAGUAGUCUUUGUUGGUGAUUGGGGUGUGCCAGGCAUGGAGGAAUUGACAAAUAGUGCCUUGCAUUACCCAAGAAACGGAGAAGUUAUUGGAGAUGGAGGCCCGGAUUUCAGCAGUGUAACUUCAGUGAAGGAAAAAGGUUGUCAAUGGUAAGCACUCUGCCUCUAGCCAGGAGCCAAACAAAAUCUGCCACCUUUGGGGGUGCUGAUGGUGCCAAAAGACAGAAGGGAAGUCCAGAGCUUGAUUCGGAGAAGGGCUGGUGAUGGAGGUGUAGGACUUGGUUGUAAAGAUGCCAGAUGGAGAUAGCGACCAGGAGAGGCUGUCAUCCGAAUCUGGAGAUGGCUGAAUGCCUUGAAGGGGGAGAAGAAGAUUGAGGAAGGCUUCAAAUUCUGACUCAGUGAAGGCUCUUCUGCACGGAGGGCACCAAGCUCCUGUUCCAACAGGAGAGAAACAACCAUUCACAGAAGAAGAGAGGUUGGAGGAAAUCUUGGCUAGAUCAAGGAAGACAACAACAAAGGGUCUAUCUAAAAUCCAUUUAUCCAAAUUACCCAGAUUGAAAGUGAGACCUUCAAGAAAGGGCACCUUAGUCCCUGUAAUGGGUCUUCAAAUGCUGGAUGCUUGGUAAAGGGA